rnacentral:rRNA from 1 species
GACGAACGCUGGCGGCGUGCUUAACACAUGCAAGUCGAGCGAUGAAGCACCUUCGGGUGUGAAUUAGCGGCGAACGGGUGAGGAACACGUGAAGAAUCUGCCUUCAACUCUGGGAUAACUCCGGGAAACCGGGGCUAAUACCGGAUAUGAGCCUUGAUCGCAUGAUCGGGGCUGGAAAGUUUUUCGGUUGAAGAUGACUUCGCGGCCUAUCAGCUUGUUGGUGAGGUAAUGGCUCACCAAGGCGACGACGGGUAGCCGGCCUGAGAGGGCGACCGGCCACACUGGGACUGAGACACGGCCCAGACUCCUACGGGAGGCAGCAGUGGGGAAUUUUCCGCAAUGGGCGAAAGCCUGACGGAGCAAUCUCGCGUGGGGGAUGACGGCCUAUGGGUUGUAAACCUCUUUUUUCUAGGGAGGAACAAAAUGACGUGUACCUGAAGAAUAAGCAUCGGCUAACUCCGUG